rnacentral:rRNA from 1 species
AGUGAACGCUGGCGGUAGGCCUAACACAUGCAAGUCGAACGGCAGCACAGUAAGAGCUUGCUCUUACGGGUGGCGAGUGGCGGACGGGUGAGGAAUACAUCGGAAUCUACUUUUUCGUGGGGGAUAACGUAGGGAAACUUACGCUAAUACCGCAUACGACCUACGGGUGAAAGCAGGGGAUCUUCGGACCUUGCGCGAUUGAAUGAGCCGAUGUCGGAUUAGCUAGUUGGCGGGGUAAAGGCCCGCCAAGGCGACGAUCCGUAGCUGGUCUGAGAGGAUGAUCAGCCACACUGGGACUGAGACACGGUCCAGACUCCUACGGGAGGCAGCAGUGGGGAAUAUUGGACAAUGGGCGCAAGCCUGAUCCAGCCAUACCGCGUGGGUGAAGAAGGCCUUCGGGUUGUAAAGCCCUUUUGUUGGGAAAGAAAAGCAGCAGGUUAAUACCCCGCUGUUCUGACGGUACCCAAAGAAUAAGCACCGGCUAACUUCGUG